AUGAUGUGUCCGGCGCGCGUACGUGCCUGGACAAAGACAUCAAUCAAUUUACUAUCCUUGUUCUUAAUCAUAGGCCUCGGCAUCGACUACGACGGGACGCACUCGGCGCAGACUGACAUGUCGGUGGCCUACAGCCUGGAGGAGUACGCGGCGGCCGUGGUCGCCGCCGUCGGCCGCGUCUGCGACCGCAAGGGCGUGCAACACCCUGUCAUCUGCAGCGAGAGCGGCCGCGCGCUGGUGUCGCACCACUCGGUCCUCAUCUUCGAGGCCUUCUCCGCGACGGCGCCGACUUCCAACAUGAUGGACCCGGCCACCGCCUACCUGCUCGACGAGCUCACCGAUGACUGCCGCAGCGACUACCGCAACCUCAUGGUCUCGGCCGUGCGCGGCGACUUCGACACCUGCGGCCUGUACGCGGACCAGCUGAAGCGGCACUGCGCCGAGCAGUUCAAGGAGGGGGUCCUCGGGCUAGAGCACCUCGCCGCCGUGGACGGGCUCUGCGAGAUCGUCGCCCGCGGCAUGGGCGCGGCGGAGGGGCCGCGCAGGUACCACAUCAACCUGUCCGUGUUCACCUCGCUGCCGGACAUGUAG
rnacentral:rRNA from 1 species